GACGAACCGUGCGAACGUUGUUCGGAUUCACUGGGCUUAAAGGGCGCGUAGGCGGUCGACCAAGUCUGGGGUGAAAUCUUUCGGCUUAACCGGAAAAGUGCCCCCGAUACUGGCCGGCUAGAGGGAGAUAGGGGCAUGUGGAACUUCCGGUGGAGCGGUGAAAUGCGUAGAUAUCGGAAGGAACGCCGGUGGCGAAAGCGACGUGCUGGAUCUCUUCUGACGCUGAGGCG
rnacentral:rRNA from 1 species